AUGAGAGCCCUAUUCUGGAAUAUUAGAGGUUUCGGCGCUCCAGGGCGUUGGGAUCAAAUUAGAGAUAUUGUUCGAGGUGAGAAUGUAGACUUGAUUGGGCUUGUUGAAACUUUCAAGGAAUCCUUUUCUUCUAAUGAGUUUUCUGCGGUGGCGGGGGCCGAUAGAUUUGAUUGGCACUAUUUACCUUCUUCUGGACACUCGGGUGGUAUCCUUAUUGGAUCCAAGAGGGACGUUUUUUACUUUGUUGCCUUUGAUCAUGGUGUCUUUUGGGCGAGUUCUGUUUUAUUUCAUCGACAGCUUAACUCUCUUUGGGAAGUUUUGGUGGUCUACGGUCCUGCGGACCACUCUCUAUCCCCCCUCUUUCUUGAUGAGAUUUUGAAUAAAAUUGAGUCAUGCUCUCUCCCAAUGUUAAUUGGGGGAGAUUUUAACCUGCUCCGUUCUCCUAGUGACAAGAGCAGCAGUCACUUUUCUUGGCCUCUCGCGGAUUCUUUCAAUGGGUUCAUACGGGACUGUGCUCUUCGUGAACUUCCUCGGGUUGGUGCUCGUUUCAGCUAG
rnacentral:rRNA from 1 species